ensembl:lncRNA
CUUUGGUUACCCUUGCCUGCCAUGGAGUCCAUCAAGGUCCCCCAAAUAAAGUCCCCCUGGAGCUUUAUCAUAACACAAACAGCAACAACAGAACCCAUGAAUUAAAAAAAAAAAUCCUUUAUUUACAGUUCAAAAUUUAAACAAGAUCUUUGUUCUGAUCUGUGAUACUUCCAGGUCCUGGAUCACAGGCAGGGACCCAAACACAGGUUAGUCCAGCUUGUCAGACUCAAGGGAGAAUGUCACCUAGAACAGCAGAAGACCUAAAUGGUAGAGACAGGUCGGUGAGAAGAUAGGGGUAAACGGCUCAAAGAAACAGGAAGGGGACACUCCAGGAAACAAAUACUCCCAGAUCCUAAUCUUUCCCAGAGACUAGACCUUUGGAUGCCAGGACCACGUGAAAAUGUAGUGAUGUGUGACCAGGCAUGACACAUAUUACUCACCUUUUCCUAUGCUGUAGUAUAUAUUAACUUCUAACUUAUAUUUAAUGUAUGUGUGGGCAAGCAUGCCAUGGAGAUAGGAGGACAACUUGCAUGAGUUGGCUCUCUCAACCAUGUAGGUCCCAGGGAUUCAACUCAGGUGUUAGGCUUGGCAGCAAGUGCUGUUACCUGCUGCACUAGCUCACUGGCCUGUAUAUACUAUUUCCAUGCAAAGGGACAAAUGAGUUCCAAGAGGCUUAAUGACUUGACUAAAGCCAGAGUUACCAGUGUUGGGGCUUUCUGCUUAGCUCAGGCCUGUCUCAUCAGGCUUUGAUGGCUUGCUGUCCAUGGCCUUCCAGGUUAACUGUGCUGAAUGUAUACUGCUGUCUCUCUCUUAGCAACUGCCUUAUGUGAGUUCUGGAAUCACAAUGUAAAUCCUCAAAGUGUGUAAGAAUGCAUAAGUAGCUGGAUGUGGUGGUGCACGCCUUUAAUCCCAGCACCAGGGAGGCAGAGGCGUGCGCCACCAACUCCUGGCAAGCCUUCCUUUUUUUCAGGUGGGCAAGCUGCUGCUGCUGUGAACUUGUGGCAAUCUUGCCUCAGCCUCUAAAUGCUGAGAUUCUAUCAAAAAAAUUUAAUUAAUUUAUUCGUGGAUAUGCAUAUGGGUGUGCAAGUGUCAAAGGACAUGCCAGAGGGAAAUUUGCAGGAGUCAGUUCUCUCUCUCUACCAGUUGGUCCUGGGGAUUAAACAGGUCUACAUGCUUGUCAGCCAGCACCUUUACCUGCCACUGAGCAGGUUCACCUGUCCCCUCUUUUAUACAGGGUCACUAAAUUGCCAGGCUAGCCUUAAAAACAUUCUUAAAUCUAGGCAGACCUCAAACUUGUCACACUCUUGCCCCCCCCCCCUCUCUCUGGCUGGGAUUACAGAAUUACAGGUGUGUCCUACCACACCCAGCUAAAUUUUUUUGUUUGUUUUUUAAGACAGCAUUUCUCUGUCCUGUAACUCCCUUUGUAGAGAUCUUCCUGCUCGUCUCCUGAGUGCUGGGAUUAAAGGUGUGUGCCACUACAUCUAGCUAGGUGUGAUAAUAUUUUAUCAUGGCUGAGGCAAGUAAAUUUGGUAUAGGUGUCCUUGUAACCACACACCUAGGAGGCAGGAGGAUUAUGUUGAGGUCUGUCUCAGCAGAGACUUUAAUUGAAAGAAACAAACUGGUGGGCAUGGUGACC